GCCUACAACCAAAUCACGUGGAAUGCACCCGAUCUCGGCAGAUCUCGGCAACUAAGCUGAGCUGAGCCUGGACAAAGCUUAGAUGGGUGACCGCUAUGAAUACAACAGGUGUUGUAGGCU
rnacentral:rRNA from 1 species